AUUCCAGCUCCAAUAGCGUAUAUUAAAGUUGUUGCAGUUAAAAAGCUCGUAGUUGAACUUCAGACCUGGCCGGGCGGUCCGCCUAACGGUGUGUACUGUCUGGCUGGGUCUUACCUCUUGGUGAGCCGGCAUGCCCUUCACUGGGUGUGUCGGGGAACCAGGACUUUUACCUUGAGAAAAUUAGAGUGUUCAAAGCAGGCUUAUGCCCGAAUACAUUAGCAUGGAAUAAUAAAAUAGGACGUGCGGUUCUAUUUUGUUGGUUUCUAGAGUCGCCGUAAUGAUUAAUAGGGAUAGUUGGGGGCAUUAGUAUUCAGUUGCUAGAGGUGAAAUUCUUGGAUUUACUGAAGACUAACUACUGCGAAAGCAUUUGCCAAGGAUGUUUUCAUUA
rnacentral:rRNA from 1 species